AAGAUCAUACUUCACAGGAUCAUUUCUGCAGUAUAUCUUCGCAUACUCUCCACUCAAAAGUAGAGUUUAUCGCAACCAUGAUGACGAGUUAUAGUCCUGUUUCUUGAGCGUGAGAUAUGAUUCCGGAUGAGCUUUGGUUCAACCGGACGUCCACGAUGAUCGUUCACCUGUUUUCGGACAGGAAACGGAAAUGGGACAGUCCGAGUGGU